AUUGAACGCUGGCGGCAGGCCUAACACAUGCAAGUCGAACGGUAACAGAAAGCAGCUUGCUGCUUUGCUGACGCGUGGCGGACGGGUGAGUAAUGUCUGGGAAACUGCCUGAUGGCGGGGGAUAACUACUGGAAACGGUAGCUAAUACCGCAUAACGUCGCAAGCCCAAAGAGGGGUACCUUCGGGCCUCUUGCCAUCGGCUUUGCCCAGAUUGGAUUAGCUAGUAGGUGGGGUAACGGCUCACCUAGGCAACGAUCCCUAGCUGGUCUGAGAGGAUGACCAGACACACUGGAACUGAGACACGGUCCAGACUCCUACGGGAGGCAGCAGUGGGGAAUAUUGCACAAUGGGCGAAAGCCUGAUGGAGCAAUGCCGCGUGUAUGAAGAAGGACUUCGGGUUGUAAAGUACUGUCAGCGGGGAGGAAGGGAGGAAAGAUAAUACCUUGGCUCAUUGACGUUACCCGAAGAAGAAGCACCGGCUAACUACGUG
rnacentral:rRNA from 1 species